UACGUAGGGGGCUAGCGUUGUCCGGAAUCAUUGGGCGUAAAGCGCGUGUAGGCGGUCCGGUAAGUCCGCUGUGAAAGUCGGGGGCUCAACCCUCGAAUGCCGGUGGAUACUGUCGGGCUAGAGUGCGGAAGAGGCGAGUGGAAUUCCUGGUGUAGCGGUGAAAUGCGUAGAGAUCUGGAGGAACACCCGUGGCGAAGGCGGCUCCCUGGUCCGGUUCUGACGCUGAGACGCGAAAGCGCGGGGAGCGAACGGG
rnacentral:rRNA from 1 species